UACGGGGGGAGCAAGCGUUGUUCGGAUUUACUGGGCGUAAAGGGCGCGUAGGCGGUCAGCACAAGUCAGUUGUGAAAUCUCUGGGCUUAACCCAGAAAGGUCAGCCGAUACUGCGGGGCUAGAGUGCAGAAGGGGCAACUGGAAUUCUCGGUGUAGCGGUGAAAUGCGUAGAUAUCGAGAGGAACACCUGCGGCGAAGGCGGGUUGCUGGGCUGACACUGACGCUGAGGCGCGAAAGCUAGGGGAGCGAACGGG
rnacentral:rRNA from 1 species